rnacentral:misc_RNA from 1 species
GCGCAAAACAACUGUCAGCUCCUUUUUAAAUGUAUUAGCAGAGCAGUAUUGGACUGGCCUCGGUUGAUAAGAAAGUUUUAUCUAUGCUGUCGCUGGGUUCUCUCUGUGCUCAGCUUCAAAUCGUCUUCGGACUGUCUCUUGAGGCAAACAAAUCUCUAUUGAUCGACCUCAAAUCAGGUAGGACUACCCGCUGAACUUAA